rnacentral:rRNA from 1 species
AUGAACGCUGGCGGCGUGCCUAAUACCUGCAAGUCGAGCGAACAGACGAGGAGCUUGCUCCUCUGACGUUAGCGGCGGACGGGUGAGUAACACGUGGAUAACCUACCUAUAAGACUGGGAUAACUUCGGGAAGCCGGAGCUAAUACCGGAUAAUAUAUUGAACCGCAUGGUUCAAUAGUGAAAGACGGUUUUGCUGUCACUUAUAGAUGGAUCCGCGCCGCAUUAGCUAGUUGGUAAGGUAACGGCUUACCAAGGCAACGAUGCGUAGCCGACCUGAGAGGGUGAUCGGCCACACUGGAACUGAGACACGGUCCAGACUCCUACGGGAGGCAGCAGUAGGGAAUCUUCCGCAAUGGGCGAAAGCCUGACGGAGCAACGCCGCGUGAGUGAUGAAGGUCUUCGGAUCGUAAAACUCUGUUAUUAGGGAAGAACAAAUGUGUAAGUAACUAUGCACGUCUUGACGGUACCUAAUCAGAAAGCCACGGCUAACUACGUG